GACUCUCUAGCGCGUGGCUGCCGCUCCGUGCCACGGCUGCCUCGCCUGCGCCGCCAUCAAGGGCGACUGUGGAAACAGAGCUCGGCCAGCCCGCCGGCGCCCGCGCGCUCUGGCUCCCAGCGCUCGCCUCCCUGAUUUAUCCGCGGUCGCCGAGGAGAGGGCGGGGGCGGGGCGGGGGCGGAGGGGGCGGCGCGGGGACGCGGCGGCUGCGGGGAUGGGGGUGGCCGGAGCGGGGCUCCGGCUGCCUUCCCCGGGCGGGUCUCGGGGAGGCGGCUGUGGGUGGGCAGCGGGAGGGCCGGGCGUCAGAGCCGGGCGGGGACGGCCCGGGCGCAGCCCUCCGUACAAGGCAGGGAGGAACUCCCAAAGUCGCCGUCGCCUGCUCCCGCCGCGGGGCGUGCGGAGGCCGAGCGGACGGAGCCCGUAGGUGCUCCCCGAGGGACCACCGGCCGGCCGCGCGUAUCUACCGCUCGCGCAGGCUCCUGCCGAGCACUUUGCUCGCCUCCUCCGGGUUAUUUUUUGCACAAUCUGGCAGGGGCCCCCAAGCCCUUCUCCCAGGCGUAGAAUCCGCUGCCUGCCUAAGAAUCAUGAAGUGAUUUAACAACAAAUCUAGGAGGGGUUUGUGGUGCUUUAGAAAACGCCGCUGUGGACUCAACCAGGUGGCACUGGUUUUCAUGGUGUGCCAGGGGGUUAGGGCCUUUGACAGGGCUCUAACUAAUGGUGCCAGCGGCCCUACACCCACGUACAAGUAGACUUGGUUUACCUGGCGGGGGCAGAUCCUCAAGGGGCGGACUCUGGGAAUCAUUGCAGAACAAGCUAGCAGAUGCUGUAAGAUGUCUUUCCUACUCGUCCAUAAGAAGCAAGGCUAGAGGGUGGUUAGUGUUGCAAGGGGCUUUGGCAACAUCUUAGCAAGCAACCUUCCAACUGGUUGAAAAUUUUCCCGUCCUGACCACUGGACUGCUUUGUGAACAAGCUUGUUGCCUGCUGAAUUCACUUUCUCAGUGUGAACACAGAGCGGAGGUUAACAUCAGAAACAGGUGGCCCUCUGCAAAUUGCAUCUGAAAUGUGGAGGAAGGGCUGGUUUUACCUCCACUCUGGGGAGAAGCAAGGCUAUCUAGGGCCUUCUAGAAAGAGCAAAACAAAACAAAACAAAACCAUCGGUCUUCAUUUAUACCUUCCCUGCCUGGCUCAGGCCACUUUCGAGGACAGACUUGGUGGGCCGCUGCUAGAAAGGCUUCAUGGAACAGCCCAAAUUCUUAAGCUGCUUGCAGAAGGAUAUGAAAACACUUUGACAUGAAGUCAGAGAAUACAGUUCCUGAUAAGAAAAAAGACCCUCACACUAAGGCGAAGAGUCUGUAAUGAUGUUGUGGCUGUAAGAUUAUUAACCCCUUUUAUAGAAGAUUGUUAAUCGCCCCUUUUAUAGACGGGUAGAUAGACCUCUACUCAUUCGGAAUUGAUCAGACAAAGAGAUGGUGAUGAUGGGAGUGAUUGCCGACCAGCUCACAAAUGUAUUUGUGAUUUUAUGAUGUUUGGCCAGGUGCCAGGAUGGAUUCCUAAGAGAGGCAACUCUGGAGACAAGGACUUCACAGGAUGUAGUCACCACGGAGAACAUGAGCUUCAGGACUGGUUGUAGUGACAGUAGAGUUGCCUCUGUGAGCUGUAGUGCUAUCCAUGCAGGCACUCAGAAGACCUGUCACAGCACAGGCUCUUGGCCUCUAAGCCUUGGGUUUCUGCUUCAGGAAGUUUGGAAAGACCCCAAAAUUUACCUGUCUAGUAAAUGUAUAGAUGAGAAUGAGAAAUUGUGAUUUGAAUAACAACUUGUGUCUGUAUGAUAUACAUAGUGAGGUAGACUGGGAAGUGGAAGUUAUGAAAUGGAGAGGCAUAUUGAAGAUGCAUUCACCAGUAAAUAAAGUAAUUUAUAACAAAGCUUUGAACCAGGAAGAUAAUCUUGGUACAUGGAGAAAUGAGGCUUCAGGGAGUGGGCUUUGUUCUCUGGUACAACUUUAAGCACCAAAUAAAUCUAAGUUGUCUGUCAGAUCUACUGCUCCCUUUCAAGUGUCAAGGUCAAAACACCUCCAGCAACAUAUGAGUCCAAGUUCGAAGUCUGUUCCUCAGUGUUUGAGGGUGUGUAGAAAGGCAUACUGCUUCCUACACUUCAGUUAUCUGACCCUCAAAGCCACCCUCCCCUCCUCCUACCUCUAGCAUUCAGAUUCUACUACCAACCUAAGGUCCAUUUUAAUGCAAGCGAUCUACAUAGAAGGAACUCUCCCAUAGCAAAUAUCAAUUUCCUACUCCCAAAUCUGGCUUUAUCAGAUAAGGUUGCCAACACUGGAAGGAGAGAUCUGAAACUUACUUUGGUUUGGAUAAGAAAAUCGAUGUGAAUUUGACUAACUGCAAAUAGUUAUGAAUAAAAUGGAAUGAUUAAGCCUC